UACGUAGGUAGCAAGCGUUGUCCGGAUUUAUUGGGCGUAAAGCGUACGCAGGCGGUCUGGAAAGUCUGACGUGAAAUCCCGGGGCUCAACCCCGGAACUGCGUUGGAAGCUAUCAGACUUGAGUAUGGGAGAGGUUCGUGGAAUUCCAGGUGUAGGGGUGAAAUCCGUAGAGAUCUGGAGGAACACCGGUGGCGAAAGCGACGAACUGGACCAAGACUGACGCUGAGGUACGAAAGCGUGGGGAGCAAACAGG
rnacentral:misc_RNA from 1 species